GGGCCCGCACAAGCGGCGGAGCAUGCGGCUUAAUUCGAUGCAACGCGAAGAACCUUACCUGGGCUUGACAUGCAGGGCAAAGCCGGUGAAAGCCGGCGCUCUACGGAGCCUGCACAGGUGGUGCAUGGCUGUCGUCAGCUCGUGCCGUGAGGUGUUGCCUUAAGUGGCGCAACGAGCGCAACCCUUGUCCUUAGUUGCCAGCGGGUCAUGCCGGGAACUCUAGGGAGACUGCCGGUGCCAAACCGGAGGAAGGUGGGGAUGACGUCAAGUCAUCAUGCCCCUUAUGUCCAGGGCUGCACGCAUGCUACAAUGCGCGGUACAAAGGGCUGCAAACCCGUAAGGGGGAGCGAAUCCCAAAAAGCCGCGCUCAGUUCGGAUCGGGGUCUGCAACCCGACCCCGUGAAGUCGGAGUCGCUAGUAAUCGCAGAUCAGCAAUGCUGCGGUGAAUACGUUCCCGGGCCUU
rnacentral:rRNA from 1 species